GAUGAACGCUGGCGGCGUGCCUAAUACAUGCAAGUCGAGCGAACAGACGAGGAGCUUGCUCCUCUGACGUUAGCGGCGGACGGGUGAGUAACACGUGGAUAACCUACCUAUAAGACUGGGAUAACUUCGGGAAACCGGAGCUAAUACCGUAUAAUAUAUUGAACCGCAUGGUUCAAUAGUGAAAGACGGUUUUGCUGUCACUUAUAGAUGGAUCCGCGCCGCAUUAGAUAGUUGGUAAGGUAACGGCUUACCAAGGCAACGAUGCGUAGACGACCUGAGAGAGUGAUCGGCCACACUGGAACUGAGACACGGUCAAGACUCCUAAGGGAGGCAGCAGUAGGGAAUGUUACGCAAUGGGCGAAAGCCUGACGGAGCAACGCCGAGUGAGUGAUGAAGGUCUUCGGAUCGUAAAACUCUGUUAUUAGGGAAGAACAAAUGUGUAAGUAACUAUGCACGUCUUGACGGUACCUAAUCAGAAAGCCACGGCUAACUACGUG
rnacentral:rRNA from 1 species